rnacentral:rRNA from 1 species
UACGUAGGGUGCUAGCGUUGUUCGGAAUCAUUGGGCGUAAAGCGCGUGUAGGCGGUUAGUAAAGUUGGGUGUGAAAUCCCUGGGCUCAACCGAGGAAGUGCAUCCAAAACUAACUAGCUAGAGAGUGGUAGAGGGAGGUGGAAUUCCGUGUGUAGAGGUGAAAUUCGUAGAUAUACGGAGGAAUACCGGUGGCGAAGGCGGCCUCCUGGACCAUUUCUGACGCUGAGACGCGAAAGCGUGGGGAGCAAACAGG